rnacentral:tRNA from 1 species
AGGCUAUUAAGUUAAAUAGACUAUUUGUUUUCAAAACAAAAUGUAACGAUAUUUGUUAUAGUCUG